GGCCCGCCAGCCGCGCCGCCCCGUCGACAGGAUGGCCAGGCCCCCGGGACCCCAGCCGGGCAUGCGGCCCGGCGGCGGCUACGGCGGCUUCAUCCAGCCGCAGACCAAGGGCAGCGGUGCCAUGGGCAUCAUCAUGCCCAUCUACACCGUCGGCAUCGUCGUAUUCUUCCUCUACACCAUCAUGCGGGUGAUGUUCAAGAAGCAGCCGGAGAAGGAGAGC